AGUGAACGCUGGCGGUAGGCCCAACACAUGCAAGUCGAACGGCAGCACAGUAAGAGCUUGCUCUUACGGGUGGCGAGUGGCGGACGGGUGAGGAAUACAUCGGAAUCUACUUUUUCGUGGGGGAUAACGUAGGGAAACUUACGCUAAUACCGCAUACGACCUACGGGUGAAAGCAGGGGAUCUUCGGACCUUGCGCGAUCGAAUGAGCCGAUGUCGGAUUAGCUAGUUGGCGGGGUAAAGGCCCACCAAGGCGACGAUCCGUAGCUGGUCUGAGAGGAUGAUCAGCCACACUGGAACUGAGACACGGUCCAGACUCCUACGGGAGGCAGCAGUGGGGAAUAUUGGACAAUGGGCGCAAGCCUGAUCCAGCCAUACCGCGUGGGUGAAGAAGGCCUUCGGGUUGUAAAGUCCUUUUGUUGGGAAAGAAAAGCAGCAGGUUAAUACCCCGCUGUUCUGACGGUACCCAAAGAAUAAGCACCGGCUAACUUCGUG
rnacentral:rRNA from 1 species